rnacentral:rRNA from 1 species
CAGUCGCCACGGUAAAACGGGGGGGGCAAGUGUUAUUCGGAAUGACUGGGCGUAAAGGGCACGUAGGCGGUGAAAAGGGUGGAAAGUGAAAGUCGCCAAAACACUGGCGGGGUGCUUUCUUGACCAUUUCACUUGAGUGAGAUAGGGGAGAGUGGAAUUUCGUGUGGAGGGAUCAAAUCCUAAGAUAUACGAAGGAACGCCAACCGCGAAGGCAGCUCUCUGGGUCCCCACUGACGCUGGGGUGCGAAAGCAUGGGGAGCAAACAGGAUCAGAUACCCCGGUAGUCCCUGUCUCUUAUACA